rnacentral:rRNA from 1 species
GAUGAUCCCAGCUUGCUGGGGGAUUAGUGGCGAACGGGUGAGUAACACGUGAGUAACCUGCCCUUGACUCUGGGAUAAGCCUGGGAAACUGGGUCUAAUACCGGAUAUGACCUUCCAUCGCAUGGUGGUUGGUGGAAAGCUUUUGUGGUUUUGGAUGGACUCGCGGCCUAUCAGCUUGUUGGUGAGGUAAUGGCUUACCAAGGCGACGACGGGUAGCCGGCCUGAGAGGGUGACCGGCCACACUGGGACUGAGACACGGCCCAGACUCCUACGGGAGGCAGCAGUGGGGAAUAUUGCACAAUGGGCGCAAGCCUGAUGCAGCGACGCCGCGUGAGGGAUGACGGCCUUCGGGUUGUAAACCUCUUUCAGUAGGGAAGAAGCGUAAGUGACGGUACCUGCAGAAGAAGCGCCGGCUAACUACGUGCCAGCAGCCGCGGUAAUACGUAGGGCGCAAGCGUUAUCCGGAAUUAUUGGGCGUAAAGAGCUCGUAGGCGGUUUGUCGCGUCUGCCGUGAAAGUCCGGGGCUCAACUCCGGAUCUGCGGUGGGUACGGGCAGACUAGAGUGAUGUAGGGGAGACUGGAAUUCCUGGUGUAGCGGUGAAAUGCGCAGAUAUCAGGAGGAACACCGAUGGCGAAGGCAGGUCUCUGGGCAUUAACUGACGCUGAGGAGCGAAAGCAUGGGGAGCGAACAGGAUUAGAUACCCUGGUAGUCCAUGCCGUAAACGUUGGGCACUA